GCCGGUGUGGCGGAAUUGGCAGACGCGCGGGACUCAAAAUCCCGUUCCACUUUUGGAGUGUCGGUUCGACCCCGACCACCGGUA
rnacentral:tRNA from 1 species